GACGGGGGAUGCAAACGUUAUCCGGAAUCACUGGGCGUAAAGCGUCUGUAGGUGGUGAUGCAAGUCACUGGUGCAAAACUCUGGCUCAACCGGAGGAAAGCCAGUGAAACUGCAUGACUAGAGUGUGGGAGAGGUAGAAGGAAUUCCCUGAGUAGCGGUGAAAUGCGUAGAUUCAGGGAAGAACACCGGAGGCGAAAGCGUUCUACUGGAUCACAACUUACACUGAGAGACGAAAGCUAGGGGAGCGAAUGGG
rnacentral:rRNA from 1 species